rnacentral:rRNA from 1 species
GCGAGUGAAGCGGCAACAGCUCAAAUUUGAAAUCUGGCUUCGGCCCGAGUUGUAAUUUGUAGAGGAUGCUUUGGGCGCGGCUCCAACUGAGUUCCCUGGAACGGGACGCCACAGAGGGUGAGAGCCCCGUAUAGUUGGAUGCCUAGCCUGUGUAAAGCUCCUUCGACGAGUCGAGUAGUUUGGGAAUGCUGCUCUAAAUGGGAGGUAAAUUUCUUCUAAAGCUAAAUAUUGGCCAGAGACCGAUAGCGCACAAGUAGAGUGAUCGAAAGAUGAAAAGCACUUUGAAAAGAGGGUUAAAUAGCACGUGAAAUUGUUGAAAGGGAAGCGCUUGUGACCAGACUUGGGCCUGGCGGACCAUCCGGUGUUCUCACCGGUGCACUCCGCCAGGCACAGGCCAGCAUCGGUUCUCGUGGGGGGAUAAAGGUCCCGGGAACGUAGCUCCUCCGGGAGUGUUAUAGCCCGGGGCGUAAUGCCCUCGCGGGGACCGA